UGUUGUGGGUGGAAGGAUAGUGCUGGUGGCACAAGAGACACCAGUGCCUAAGGGACCUCUGGUGCCCAGCCCACAGACACAUACAGGCAGUACCAUUGGCACUUUAACGAUGCGGGGAACAGGCCGGCCCCUCAAACACCCAGCGACAGGGGGCCUGGGCCUUACCAUAGGAGCAACAGUGACAUGGAGUGAAGGUGGGAGCAUCAGGCAGACACCGCGGGGAGCAGAGGUAUGCCCAUAGUCCGGAGCACAGUGUGGGACCCAGUAAUGGCCGUAAACCAGAGGGCAGCGUCGGACCCAUGCAUGAAAACCAAGCCGACAGUGGUAUGGGACCGAGGCGUGGAACUGGACAAUCCCCUGGUUUGGCACCCUGGCUUGAGGACAU